rnacentral:rRNA from 1 species
GAUGAACGCUAGCUACAGGCUUAACACAUGCAAGUCGAGGGGAAACGAUAUUGGAAGCUUGCUUCCGAUAGGCGUCGACCGGCGCACGGGUGAGUAACGCGUAUCCAACCUGCCCAUCACUUGGGGAUAACCUUGCGAAAGUAAGACUAAUACCCAAUGACGUCUCUAGAAGACAUCUGAAGGAGAUUAAAGAUUUAUCGGUGAUGGAUGGGGAUGCGUCUGAUUAGCUUGUUGGCGGGGUAACGGCCCACCAAGGCGACGAUCAGUAGGGGUUCUGAGAGGAAGGUCCCCCACAUUGGAACUGAGACACGGUCCAAACUCCUACGGGAGGCAGCAGUGAGGAAUAUUGGUCAAUGGACGAGAGUCUGAACCAGCCAAGUAGCGUGCAGGAUGACGGCCCUAUGGGUUGUAAACUGCUUUUAUAAGGGAAUAAAGUGGGAGUCGUGACUCUUUUUGCAUGUACCUUAUGAAUAAGGACCGGCU